AUACUCACAUGGCAAGGGAGAUACCAUGAUCACGAAGGUGAUACUCCCAGGGUAAGGCUUAUCCACUGCACUCAGAGUAUGCUGAUCUUUCAAUUGCCCCAAAUGUGGAAAACUCCACUACAUAAUUUGUGGUAGUGGGGGACAGUGUUCAUGCUCUCCCCUG